rnacentral:tRNA from 1 species
AUUAAGGUAGCAAAACCAGGCCAUGCAAAGGACUUAAAAUCCCAACAUAGGUGUUCAAAUCACCUCCUUAAUA